CCUACGGGAGGCAGCAGUGAGGAAUAUUGGUCAAUGGGCGUAAGCCUGAAGCAGCCAAGUCGCGUGAGGGAUGAAGGUUCUAUGGAUCGUAAACCUCUUUUAUAAGGGAAUAAAGUGCGGGACGUGUCCCGUUUUGUCUGUACCUUAUGAAUAAGGCUCGGCUAAUUCCGUGCCAGCAGCAGCGGUAAUACGGAGGAUCCGAGCGUUAUCCGGAUUUAUUGGGGUUAAAGGGUGCGUAGGCGGCCUUUUAAGUCUGCUGUGAAAGUCUGUGGCUCAACCAUAGAAUUGCCUUUGAAACUGGGAGUCUUGAGUAUGUGUGAGGUAGGUGGAAUGCGUGGUGUAGCGGUGAAAUGCUUAGAGAUCACGAAGAACCCUGAUUGCGAAGGCAGCCUGCCAGGCCAUGACUGACGCUGAUGCGCGAAAGCGUGGGGAGCAAACAGGAUUAGAUACCCGUGUAGUC
rnacentral:rRNA from 1 species